rnacentral:rRNA from 1 species
CAUUUCUAGCUUGCUAGAAGAUGACGAGUGGCGGACGGGUGAGUAAUGCUUGGGAACUUGCCUUCAGGAGGGGGAUAACAGUUGGAAACGACUGCUAAUACCGCAUAACGUCUACGGACCAAAGCGGGCUUCGGCUCGCACCUGAAGAGAGGCCCAAGUGAGAUUAGCUAGUUGGUAAGGUAAAGGCUUACCAAGGCGACGAUCUCUAGCUGUUCUGAGAGGAAGAUCAGCCACACUGGGACUGAGACACGGCCCAGACUCCUACGGGAGGCAGCAGUGGGGAAUAUUGCACAAUGGGGGAAACCCUGAUGCAGCCAUGCCGCGUGUGUGAAGAAGGCCUUCGGGUUGUAAAGCACUUUCAGUUGUGAGGAAAAGUUAGUAGUUAAUACCUGCUAGCCGUGACGUUAACAACAGAAGAAGCACCGGCUAACUCCGUGCCAGCAGCCGCGGUAAUACGGAGGGUGCGAGCGUUAAUCGGAAUUACUGGGCGUAAAGCGCACGCAGGCGGUUUGUUAAGCUAGAUGUGAAAGCCCCGGGCUCAACCUGGGAUGGUCAUUUAGAACUGGCAGACUAGAGUCUUGGAGAGGGGAGUGGAAUUCCAGGUGUAGCGGUGAAAUGCGUAGAUAUCUGGAGGAACAUCAGUGGCGAAGGCGACUCCCUGGCCAAAGACUGACGCUCAUGUGCGAAAGUGUGGGUAGCGAACAGGAUUAGAUACCCUGGUAGUCCACACCGUAAACGCUGUCUACUAGCUGUGUGUGCCUUUAAGGCGUGCGUAGCGAAGCUAACGCGCUAAGUAGACCGCCUGGGGAGUACGGCCGCAAGGUUAAAACUCAAAUGAAUUGACGGGGGCCCGCACAAGCGGUGGAGCAUGUGGUUUAAUUCGAUGCAACGCGAAGAACCUUACCUACACUUGACAUGCUGAGAACUUUCUAGAGAUAGAUUGUGCCUUCGGGACUCAGACACAGUGCUGCAUGCUGUCGUCAGCUCGUGUCGUGAGAUGUGGGUAGUCCGCACGAGCGCAUCAUGUCUAGUGCAGCUAGUGGCACUCUAGAGACUGCGGUGACAACUCGGAGAGGUGGGACGACGUCAGUCAUCAUGGCCUUACUGUAAGCUACCACUGCUACAAUGGCAUUACAAGGGAGGCGAGACGUGAUGUGGAGCGACCCCUACAAAGUCGGAUCGGAUGGAGGUCGGCCCUCCACUCUUGAUCGGAUUCCUGAUAUUACGGCCCAAAAUCUUCGUGGGAAGAAAAU